GACGAGGGGCGGCCCGAGCGCGGCCCCGCUCUGCUGCUGUCCGCCUCCCGGGCAGACGGCAGCGGCGCGGCGGGGCGCGAUGGCGGCCGGGCUGGGGCCGUGGCUGCUGGCCUUGGCCUUGGGGCCGGCAGGGGUGUGUGCACAGCCCAGGAUUGUGGAAGCUGGUGGUGGUCUACGAGAACCUGGAGAGUCUGUGUCCCUCUCCUGCCAGGGAUCUGGCUCCAACUUCAGAAGUUACCAUGUUUUCUGGUACCGUCAGGCACACCGUGGCCAUCUUGAGUGGCUGUCUUACACUAGCAGCGUCUCCUUUUACACUUCCUUCAGCCCCAAGAUGGAGCAUCGAGCCACAGCCUCUCGAGACAAUGACCAUGCUGUGGCAUCUCUGUCUCUACGCGCCCUGCGCCCCCACGACUCAGCCCGCUACUUUUGUGCCAUUCACACAGGAACAGGAAAUCCUCCUGAGCUUUAACAAAAAUACCCCUUAUUGAACACUGUCAUAUCUGCAGGAGCCACAGGGCUGGAAGGCACUAGAGCGGCUCUGGCUGUUUCCUGGACUGUGGGGGGUCAUCACUGCACAGCACAGAUGGCCCUGUCCUUUCUGCAACACCUUCUUUCACUUCACCACUCCUUCCAUUCUCCUGAGUCACAAAAGCAGUGUUGCAACCUGAGGAUUAUGUUUGGCGUAUUUUUGGUCACCAAAUCAGAUUGGCCGCUCUGUCUCCCUUUCUACAUGCAGCGUGUCUGGAUCGGCUCCUGGUUCCCUUCUUCCCUUGGGUACUCAAAAGCGCUUGGGCACUUCUUGCCACAGCACUGCCCGCUUACUUCAGCAGCCACGAGCUAUUUCCACGAGUCUGUGACAUAGGCAGUGGGUGAAUAGCUCUGAUGCAGUUUCAGGUGCAUUUUGGAGUGAUGAAAUCCAAACAGUGAGGUCUAUAGUGUUGCAGAGAUCAGGGCAAACUGAAGCCUUGCAAUGUAGAUAGGUUGCUCUGACAGCUAUGCUUCGUCUUUGUUUCCAUGGAAGCUACGAGAGAUAGAAAGAGCACAAGAACACUAUUUGAUAGAGCUCCCAAACACUAUUUUUCAACAGAGUCAGCACUGUUAGCUAUGAAUUUCUACCAGCAGUGUACUGGAGCCUUCACUUCAUGCUUGUAAAUACUUGCACCAAUGGAGGCAGCCCACUGUUUCACCUCUGCGAUGAUGGCACAUUGACAGGGAAAUGUUGCCCACAACGUCCAUCCGUCAUCAGUCUGAACAGGGGGAAGAAAGAAGGUGCCAAAUCGGGGCGAUCUGUUGUGUGUUUGCUAUUGGUAUUCCACAUCGUAACAUCAUGUACAGCACGGGUACUUAAAGAGUUAAUACUCCAGUUCUGUGGAUUGACAACCUUCCAGAUACUUGCUUCUCAAAAGAGAAGAAGAACUACAUAUCCCAGAGGACCUGACGGUUGGAGAAGGAAAAUACGUGAAGGAAGUCAUGGGAUCUGGCUCUUUCGGCUGUCUCUUUCUGGCAGCCAGGCAGAGGGGUGGGUGUGCUUCCAAGUCGUGCGCCUUCAUUCAUGUAGGCCUUUCUGUUUUGGAAACUCUCUCUCUCUUAUUUGAUUUGAUUUAUUACCCUUAAUUUCAAUUUGAUUUUAAUAUAUUGUGUUAUCUUGCAUUCCGAUAUCAUGGUUAGUGAAAUAAAUUUUCCUUCU